rnacentral:rRNA from 1 species
GGACGGGGGAGUAACGCGUGAGAAUCUGUCUUCAGGUCGGGGACAACCACUGGAAACGGUGGCUAAUACCGGAUGUGCCGAAAGGUGAAAGGCUUGCUGCCGGAAGAUGAGCUCGCGUCUGAUUAGCUAGUAGGUGUGGUAAGGGCGCACCUAGGCGACGAUCAGUAGCUGGUUGAGAGGACGAUCAGCCACACUGGGACUGAGACACGGCCCAGACUCCUACGGGAGGCAGCAGUGGGGAAUUUUCCGCAAUGGGCGAAAGCCUGACGGAGCAAUACCGCGUGAGGGAGGAAGGCUCUUGGGUUGUAAACCUCUUUUCUCAGGGAAGAAAAAAAUGACGGUACCUGAGGAAUAAGCAUCGGCUAACUCCGUGCCAGCAGCCGCGGUAAUACGGAGGAUGCAAGCGUUAUCCGGAAUGAUUGGGCGUAAAGCGUCCGCAGGUGGCAAUGUAAGUCUGCUGUUAAAGAGCAAGGCUCAACCUUGUAAAAGCAGUGGAAACUACAUAGCUAGAGUACGUUCGGGGCAGAGGGAAUUCCUGGUGUAGCGGUGAAAUCCGUAGAGAUCUGGAAGAACACCGGUGGCRAAASCGCUCUGCUAGGYCUGUUCUGACACU